UAUUGCACAAUGGGCGAAAGCCUGAUGCAGCAACGCCUCGUGAGCGAUGAAGGCCUUCGGGUCGUAAAGCUCUGUCCUCCAGGAAGAUAAUGCCGGUACUUGAGGCGUAAGCCCCGGCUAACUACGUGCCAGCAGCCGCGGUAAUACGUAGGGGGCUAGCGUUAUCCGGAAUUACUGGGCGUAAAGGGUGCGUAGGUGGUUUCUUAAGUCAGAGGUGAAGGGCUACGGCUCAACCGUAGUAAGCCUUUGAAACUGGGGAACUUGAGUGCAGGAGAGGAGAGUGGAAUUCCUAGUGUAGCGGUGAAAUGCGUAGAUAUUAGGAGGAACACCAGUUGCGAAGGCGGCUCUCUGGACUGUAACUGACACUGAGGCACGAAAGCGUGGGGAGCAAACA
rnacentral:rRNA from 1 species